AUGAUGUAUGGGCAUGGGAUCGAGGGGUUGGGCUUCUUCCACCUCGAGGUCCCUGAUGCUCCUCCGCCGUCUCCUUCCCUUCAGGCGAUUGUCACUGUCGUCGAUGGCGUGGCAUCCCCGGAGAUGAUUGAGGCGGAGCUCAACCAUCUCUACCGUCACCAGUGGGACUGGGUGGUCACCCCCACCGCUGGCCACAUCUUCUCUGUCGUCUUCCCCGACUCUGUCAGCUACGGCUACGCGAUGCGUAGUGGCCGGAUCACUCUCGCCCUCAACCAGCUGGUGGUUGAGAUCUCCGAGCCGGUUCUCGAUGCUCAGGCCGUGGCCAUCCUCGACACCGCCUGGAUCCUCAUCUCCGGCCUUCCCGAUAUUGCGCGGUCCGAGCUCGUCAUCCGCCAGAUGUCCCGUCUUUUGGGCAAGGUGGUGGUGGUUGAUGAGCUCUCUCUACGCAAGGAGGAGGAGGUCCGGGUCAAGGUCAAGUGCCUCGACUCCUCCAAGCUUCACACCUCAGUCCGCGUCUUCUUCAACGACCAGGGCUUCGACCUCAGGAUCGCCCCCGAGCCUCCCAACCACGUUGGGCGCCCCCGCUCCUUCGACGCUGGCCUCCCUGGUGGCAACCCGGGGGCUGGUGGGGACUACCACGGCCGGCACCGUUCCCACCGCUCGGAUGAGGAGGGGGCUUCCGAGGACUCCCGCUCCCCUUCACCCUCGCCCCCACCUGCCGGGGGGGGGGGGCAAGGGCCGCCAGGCCGUCCCUCUCCCUCGGCUGGGUGA
rnacentral:rRNA from 1 species